AAGGUCCCAAAGUAUUGCUAAGUGGGAAACGAUGUGGGAAGGCUCAGACAGCUAGGAUGUUGGCUUAGAAGCAGCCAUCAUUUAAAGAAAGCGUAAUAGCUCACUAGUCGAGUCGGCCUGCGCGGAAGAUGUAACGGGGCUAAGCAAUACACCGAAGCUGCGGCAAUGUCUUUUAGACAUUGGGUAGGGGAGCGUUCUGUAAGCCGUUGAAGGUGAAUCGUAAGGUUUGCUGGAGGUAUCAGAAGUGCGAAUGCUGACAUGAGUAACGACAAGGGGGGUGAAAAACCUCCCCGCCGGAAGACCAAGGGUUCCUGUCCAACGUUAAUCGGGGCAGGGUGAGUCGACCCCUAAGGCGAGGCUGAAAAGCGUAGUCGAUGGGAAACGGGUUAAUAUUCCCGUACUCAAUCAAAUUGCGAUGGGGGGACGGAGAAGGCUAGGUGGGCCAGGCGACGGUUGUCCUGGUUCAAGUGCGUAGGCUUAAGAGUUAGGUAAAUCCGGCUCUUUCUAAGGCUGAGACACGACGUCGAGCUACUACGGUAGUGAAGUCAUUGAUGCCAUGCUUCCAGGAAAAGCCUCUAAGCUUCAGAUUUGAUGGAAUCGUACCCCAAACCGACACAGGUGGUCGGGUAGAGAAUACCAAGG
rnacentral:rRNA from 1 species